UUCUGAGGAGGAAGUCCCAGAGCAGACUUUGGCUCAACUCUAAGAGAGCAGCUGGAAUGGCCCCACAGGCUACAGCCCGUGUCGGUGUGGGAUGCGAGGGAGAGGAGCCAGGAUGGCCCCACAUGCUUUCCUUGGCUGCCUGGGCGGGUGCAGCAGCCACCUGAGAGGGCCGUCUGAGGACACGAGGCGGCAUCAGCCUCAUGAGAUCUGGGAUGUGCACGGGACGUCCAUGAAGCCGUCGGAGAUGAUUUGGAGUAGUUUACAAAGGUUAACAAAGUUCAGGGAGUCAGGG
ensembl:lncRNA novel transcript